UACCAGCACCCCGAGUGGUCGGGACGUUUUAUUGGCCGUAAAGCAUCCGUAGCCGGUUCUACAAGUCUUCCGUUAAAUCCAGCUGCUUAACAGAUGGGCUGCGGAAGAUACUAUGGAGCUAGGAGGCGGGAGAGGCAAGCGGUACUCGAUGGGUAGGGGUAAAAUCCGUUGAUCCAUUGAAGACCACCAGUGGCGAAGGCGGCUUGCCAGAACGCGCUCGACGGUGAGGGAUGAAAGCUGGGGGAGCAAACCGG
rnacentral:rRNA from 1 species